GCCUACGUAGUUUAGCGGUUAGAAUUCCUCGUUGUGGCCGAGGGGAUCCGGGUUCGACUCCCGGCGUAGGCA
rnacentral:tRNA from 1 species